rnacentral:rRNA from 1 species
GAUGAACGCUGGCGGCGUGCCUAAUACAUGCAAGUCGAGCGAACAGACGAGGAGCUUGCUCCUCUGCCGUUAGCGGCGGACGGGUGAGUAACACGUGGAUCACCUACCUAUAUGACUGGGAUAACUUCGGGAAACCGGAGCUAAUACCGGAUAAUAUAUUGAACCGGAUGAUUCAAGAGUGAUAGACGGCUUUGCUGUCACUUAUAGAUGGUUCCGCGCCGCAUUAGCUAGUUGGUAAGGUAACGGCUUACCAAGGCGACGAUGCGUAGCUGACCUGAGAGGAUGAUCAGCCACACUGGAACUGAGACACGGUCCAGACUCCUACGGGAGGCAGCAGUAGGGAAUAUUCGGCAAUGGGCGAAAGCCUGAUGGAGCAAUGCCGCGUGAGUGAAGAAGGUCUUCGGAUCGUAAAGCUCUUUUAUUGGGGAAGAACAGAUGUGUAAGUAACUAUGCAUGUCUUGACGGUACCUAAUCAGAAAGCCACGGCUAACUACGUG